rnacentral:rRNA from 1 species
GACGAACGCUGGCGGCGUGCUUAACACAUGCAAGUCGAACGGAAAGGCCCUGCUUUUGUGGGGUGCUCGAGUGGCGAACGGGUGAGUAACACGUGAGUAACCUGCCCUUGACUUUGGGAUAACUUCAGGAAACUGGGGCUAAUACCGGAUAGGAGCUCCUGCUGCAUGGUGGGGGUUGGAAAGUUUCGGCGGUUGGGGAUGGACUCGCGGCUUAUCAGCUUGUUGGUGGGGUAGUGGCUUACCAAGGCUUUGACGGGUAGCCGGCCUGAGAGGGUGACCGGCAAAAUGGGGACGGAGGGACGACCCAGAGCCGAAGGGGAGGAAGAGGGGGGAAGAAGGGAAAAGGGGGAGGAAGCGGGAGACAGAAGCGCCGGGGGGGGAAAGACGGCCUGGGGGUUAAAAACCGCUGUCGCCGGAGAAAAAGGGGGAGUGACGGUAAUGGAAAAAGAAGAACCGGAAAACUACGUG